GUCGAACGCUUCUUUUUCCCCGGAGCUUGCUCCACCGGAAAAAGAGGAGUGGCGAACGGGUGAGUAACACGUGGGUAACCUGCCCAUCAGAAGGGGAUAACACUUGGAAACAGGUGCUAAUACCGUAUAACAAUCAAAACCGCAUGGUUUUGAUUUGAAAGGCGCUUUCGGGUGUCGCUGAUGGAUGGACCCGCGGUGCAUUAGCUAGUUGGUGAGGUAACGGCUCACCAAGGCCACGAUGCAUAGCCGACCUGAGAGGGUGAUCGGCCACAUUGGGACUGAGACACGGCCCAAACUCCUACGGGAGGCAGCAGUAGGGAAUCUUCGGCAAUGGACGAAAGUCUGACCGAGCAACGCCGCGUGAGUGAAGAAGGUUUUCGGAUCGUAAAACUCUGUUGUUAGAGAAGAACAAGGAUGAGAGUAACUGUUCAUCCCUUGACGGUAUCUAACCAGAAAGCCACGGCUAACUACGUGCCAGCAGCCGCGGUAAUACGUAGGUGGCAAGCGUUGUCCGGAUUUAUUGGGCGUAAAGCGAGCGCAGGCGGUUUCUUAAGUCUGAUGUGAAAGCCCCCGGCUCAACCGGGGAGGGUCAUUGGAAACUGGGAGACUUGAGUGCAGAAGAGGAGAGUGGAAUUCCAUGUGUAGCGGUGAAAUGCGUAGAUAUAUGGAGGAACACCAGUGGCGAAGGCGGCUCUCUGGUCUGUAACUGACGCUGAGGCUCGAAAGCGUGGGGAGCAAACAGGAUUAGAUACCCUGGUAGUCCACGCCGUAAACGAUGAGUGCUAAGUGUUGGAGGGUUUCCGCCCUUCAGUGCUGCAGCUAACGCAUUAAGCACUCCGCCUGGGGAGUACGACCGCAAGGUUGAAACUCAAAGGAAUUGACGGGGGCCCGCACAAGCGGUGGAGCAUGUGGUUUAAUUCGAAGCAACGCGAAGAACCUUACCAGGUCUUGACAUCCUUUGACCACUCUAGAGAUAGAGCUUCCCCUUCGGGGGCAAAGUGACAGGUGGUGCAUGGUUGUCGUCAGCUCGUGUCGUGAGAUGUUGGGUUAAGUCCCGCAACGAGCGCAACCCUUAUUGUUAGUUGCCU
rnacentral:rRNA from 1 species